UCUCUCCAAACCAUAGUCUCUGUCUCUCUCCCUCACUACAACCAGCGUCUCCGGCCAUCAGAUGGGUUGGAGCACAAGGCAGCGCUCACGUCGCCAUGGGGUUGAGCUGCACGGGAGGGGGAUAAGGUCGGGUAGGAGGCAAGGCAAAAUGUUUUUCUCUGAAGCCUGGGCAUAUUGGUUGUCUGGUUGGCUCUUUUUACUAGCAGGAAGAUAACUACUACGUGUUGCUCAGUUAUUAGCAGAUUUGAGUGUAUGACUGAUCUUAUGUUCACCCAAACUUAAAGGUUUCUAAACACUAGGCUCUUGGGACUUAUUUCUAAGGGUUAGGUUCUUUUGGAUUCAUGUACUCUGAUGCUACAGCCUAGGUAAAGCUCCUUCACAAUAGUGUUUAAAGCUUAAAUUGACGACUCCACUAGAGUUCAAGCAUUCAGCUCUCUGCUCUGUGUAUUACCAAGUGUUCUAUGUACUGCUUCAUAGUCCCAAUGUGACUUAUUCGUUUUCUUUGCUGCCGGUGAUAUUUAAUAUUCAGUCAGAUCUUGGAGGAAAUGUAAAAUAUACCAGUACUCCCAUCU